GAUCCUGGCUCAGGACGAACGCUGGCGGCGUGCUUAACACAUGCAAGUCGAACGAAGAGCGAUGGAAGCUUGCUUCUAUCAAUCUUAGUGGCGAACGGGUGAGUAACGCGUAAUCAACCUGCCCUUCAGAGGGGGACAACAGUUGGAAACGACUGCUAAUACCGCAUACGAUCUAAACUCGGCAUCGAAGAUAGAUGAAAGGUGGCCUCUACAUGUAAGCUAUCACUGAAGG
rnacentral:rRNA from 1 species